GACGAACGCUGGCGGCGUGCCUAAUACAUGCAAGUCGAGCGCUGAAGGUUGGUACUUGUACCAACUGGAUGAGCAGCGAACGGGUGAGUAACGCGUGGGGAAUCUGCCUUUGAGCGGGGGACAACAUUUGGAAACGAAUGCUAAUACCGCAUAAAAACUUUAAACACAAGUUUUAAGAUUGAAAGAUGCAAUUGCAUCACUCAAAGAUGAUCCCGCGUUGUAUUAGCUAGUUGGUGAGGUAAAGGCUAACUAAGGCGAUGAUACAUAGCCGACCUGAGAGGGUGAUCGGCCACAUUGGGACUGGAACACGGCCCAAACUCCUACGGGGGGGAGCAAUAGGGAAUCUUCGGCAAUUGGCGAAAGUCUGACCGGGCAACGCCGCGGGAGUGAAGAAGGUUUUCGGAUCGUAAAACUCUGUUGGUAGGGAAGAACGUUGGUGGGAGGGGAAAGCUCAUCAAGUGACGGUAACUACCCAGAAAGGGACGGCUAACUACGUG
rnacentral:rRNA from 1 species